rnacentral:rRNA from 1 species
AUACGAAAGGUGCAAGCGUUGUUCGGAUUUACUGGGCGUAAAGAGAGUGUAGGUUGUUUAUGAAGUCGGAUGUGAAAUCCCGGGGCUCAACCUCGGAACUGCAUUCGAUACUGGUAGACUAGAGUUCGGGAGGGGUAAGCGGAAUUCCGUGUGUAGCAGUGAAAUGCGUAGAUAUAUGGAGGAACACCUGAGGCGAAGGCGGCUUACUGGACCGAUACUGACACUGAGACUCGAAAGCGUGGGUAGCAAACAGGAUUAGAUACCCCAGUAGUCC